UCCUUCCUGUCGUCGGUGAAGGACCACGCCCCGGCGCUCUCACCGGUGGCGGCGCCCUGGCUCGCACCCGCGCUCUGACCUGCGGAGGAGGGGGC
rnacentral:tRNA from 1 species